UACGGAGGAUCCGAGCGUUAUCCGGAUUUAUUGGGUUUAAAGGGUGCGCAGGCGGAAGAUUAAGUCGGUGGUGAAAUUUUUGCAGCCCAACUGUAAAAGUGCCAUUGAUACUGGUUUUCUUGAGUGUGGAUGAAGUAGGCGGAAUUUGUGGUGUAGCGGUGAAAUGCAUAGAUAUCACGAGGAACUCCGAUUGCGCAGGCAGCUUACUAAACUACUACUGACGCUCAGGCACGAAGGCGUGGGGAUCAAACAGGAUUAGAUACCCGGGUAGU
rnacentral:rRNA from 1 species